AACGCGAAGAACCUUACCAGGUCUUGACAUCUCCUGCAUAGCCUAGAGAUAGGUGAAGCCCUUCGGGGCAGGAAGACAGGUGGUGCAUGGUUGUCGUCAGCUCGUGUCGUGAGAUGUUGGGUUAAGUCCCGCAACGAGCGCAACCCUUACUAUUAGUUGCUACGCAAGAGCACUCUAAUGGGACUGCCGUUGACAAAACGGAGGAAGGUGGGGAUGACGUCAAAUCAUCAUGCCCUUUAUGACCUGGGCUACACACGUAAUACAAUGGCAAUUAACAACGGGAGGCUAAGCCGCGAGGUGGAGCAAAUCCCCAAAAAUUGUCUCAGUUCGGAUCGCAGGCUGCAACUCGCCUGCGUGAAGUCGGAAUUGCUAGUAAUCGCGGAUCAGCAUGCCGCGGUGAAUACGUUCCCGGGCCUUGUACACACCGUAGUAC
rnacentral:rRNA from 1 species